rnacentral:misc_RNA from 1 species
UCCGACUUUUAGCCGGCAGUCACCUUAGAGUGCCCAACUGAAUGCUGGCAACUAAGAUCAAGGGUUGCGCUCGUUGCGGGACUUAACCCAACAUCUCACGACACGAGCUGACGACAACCAUGCACCACCUGUCACUCUGCCCCCGAAGGGGACGUCCUAUCUCUAGGAUUGUCAGAGGAUGUCAAGACCUGGUAAGGUUCUUCGCGUUGCUUCGAAUUAAACCACAUGCUCCACCGCUUGUGCGGGCCCCCGUCAAUUCAUUUGAGUUUUAACCUUGCGGCCGUACUCCCCAGGCGGUCAACUUAAUGCGUUAGCUGCGCCACUAAGAGUUCAAGACUCCCAACGGCUAGUUGACAUCGUUUACGGCGUGGACUAC